CCUACAUUGUUUCGAAUAUUGACAAAUGAAUCAAGAAAAUCGUUUUUCUUCCGUUAUAUAGUAUAAAUUAACCGUAGAUGUCUGCGGAUUUUACAUAAAGAGAGUUUUAUCUGACUGGUUGCUACGAUGUAAAAUUUCCGGUUUUGUAAUUGACACAUUUGUUUGGUAAAACGCUUUUAUUUCCGCUAUUAAGUAAGCAACUGAGUGUUAAUUGGAUCGUUAUUUGUACGAGGGGCCGAGCCUUGUAGCAGAGACAUCUGCUACCACUAUUCAUGGGACUUUGCACAGAAUGUGCAUUUCCCCCAUCAUGCACAGCAAGUGGGCCCAAUAUACUUCUGCAGCCCCAGAAAAUGCCAUGUCUUUGGCAUGUGUGCAGAAGGGUCAGGAAAACAAGUGUUCUAUCUAAUCGAUGAAGCAGAACUGCCAGAGAAGGGUGCUGAAAGUGUUGUCAGCUUGGCUCACCAUCAUUUCCAACACUUUGG